rnacentral:rRNA from 1 species
ACGGAGGGUGCGAGCGUUAAUCGGAAUUACUGGGCGUAAAGCGCAUGCAGGCGGUUCGCUAAGUCAGAUGUGAAAUCCCCGGGCUCAACCUGGGAACUGCACUUCUAACUGGCGAGCUGGAGUACGGUAGAGGGUGGUAGAAUUUCAGGUGUAGCGGUGAAAUGCGUAGAGAUGUGGAGGAACACCGAUGGCGAAGGCAGCCCCCUGGGCCGAUACUGACGCUCAUGCACGAAAGCGUGGGGAGCAAACAG